rnacentral:lncRNA from 1 species
GAGAGUCGACUCUUGCUGUCUUUGGAGUCGACCUGCCAACCAUCGGAGUCGACUCGCGUUCCACUGGAGUCGACUCGCGUUCCACUGGAGUCGACUCGAAUCUCAGACCCGAAAACUGCUCUCUGACUUUUUCUUUGUAUUCCUCUUGGAGUCGACUCUUACUACCCUGGAGUCGACUCGGUGAACCUCGGAGUCGACUCGCACACUUCGGGAGUCGACUCGUUGACAGGUUCUGAGUUGAAGCUUUCAGUUCAUCUGUCUGUUCUCAGUCG